UACGGAGGGAGCUAGCGUUGUUCGGAAUUACUGGGCGUAAAGCGCACGUAGGCGGCUUUGUAAGUUAGAGGUGAAAGCCCAGGGCUUAACCCUGGAAUUGCCUUUAAGACUGCAUCGCUAGAAUCGUGGAGAGGUGAGUGGAAUUCCGAGUGUAGAGGUGAAAUUCGUAGAUAUUCGGAAGGAACACCAGUGGCGAAGGCGACUCACUGGACACGUAUUGACGCUGAGGUGCGAAAGCGUGGGGGAGCAAACAGG
rnacentral:rRNA from 1 species